rnacentral:rRNA from 1 species
GACGAACGCUGGCGGCGUGCUUAACACAUGCAAGUCGAACGGAAAGGCCCUGCUUGCAGGGUACUCGAGUGGCGAACGGGUGAGUAACACGUGGGUGAUCUGCCCUGCACUUCGGGAUAAGCUUGGGAAACUGGGUCUAAUACCGGAUAGGAACCAUCUUUAGUGUGGUGGUUGGAAAGUUUUUUCGGUGUAGGAUGAGCUCGCGGCCUAUCAGCUUGUUGGUGGGGUAAUGGCCUACCAAGGCGGCGACGGGUAGCCGGCCUGAGAGGGUGUACGGCCACAUUGGGACUGAGGUACGGCCCAGACUCCUACGGGAGGCAGCAAUGGGGAAUAUUGCACAAUGGGCGCAAGCCUGAUGCAGCGACGCCGCGUGGGGGAUGAAGGCCUUCGGGUUGUAAACUCCUUUCGCUAGGGACGAAGCUUUGUUGUGACGGUACCUAGAUAAGAAGCACCGGCUAACUACGUG